rnacentral:lncRNA from 1 species
GAGAUGUUUCAGUAGGCUGGUUUAUUGUGUUGAACACUCAGUUUGUUUGCAUUACUUCAUUCCAGAGAAUAACAUGUUUGAGAACAAAAUAGAGGGUCGCAGUCGUGAAAUACUUUUAGAAAAACUAUCUACGUUGUAUAGCUAUGGAUGGCGUUGCGUCUUAUUUUCAGAUCAAAUAUCUAACUUUCAUGUAUUAAUGUCGAAUCCCCACAUCCAAACACAUACAUUAUGUUUUAGUAAUACUGAAAAAAUGUUAAGGUCAACUACAACGUCUAUGAAACAUUGUUCUUGCCUAAAAACUAGUUCUAUAAACAAUGAAUCGAAAGUCAAGAAUGGAACAUUACAGAUGGCGUUACGUGAGCAAUCGUCAUUAAAAGAUGUAUAUAAAUAUUACAUGUCAGUAUAUUCUAGCGGACAUUGGCAAC